rnacentral:rRNA from 1 species
AGAGUUUGAUCAUGGCUCAGAUUGAACGCUGGCGGCAGGCCUAACACAUGCAAGUCGAGCGGUAACGCGGGGCAACCUGGCGACGAGCGGCGGACGGGUGAGUAACGCGUAGGAAUCUACCUGGUAGUGGGGGAUAGCCCGGGGAAACUCGGAUUAAUACCGCAUACGCCUUAAGGGGGAAAGCAGGGGCUCGCAAGACCUUGUGCUAUCAGAAGAGCCUGCGUUGGAUUAGCUAGUUGGUAGGGUAAAGGCCUACCAAGGCGACGAUCCAUGGCUGGUCUGAGAGGAUGAUCAGCCACACUGGGACUGAGACACGGCCCAGACUCCUACGGGAGGCAGCAGUGGGGAAUAUUGGACAAUGGGGGCAACCCUGAUCCAGCCAUGCCGCGUGUGUGAAGAAGGCCUUCGGGUUGUAAAGCACUUUAAGUGGGGAGGAAGGGGUGAUUAUUAAUACUGAUCAUCAUUGACGCUACCCACAGAAUAAGCACCGGCUAACUCUGUGCCAGCAGCCGCGGUAAUACAGAGGGUGCAAGCGUUAAUCGGAAUUACUGGGCGUAAAGCGCGCGUAGGCGGCUAAUUAAGUCGGGUGUGAAAGCCCCGGGCUCAACCUGGGAAUUGCAUCCGAUACUGAUUGGCUAGAGUAUGAGAGAGGGAGGUAGAAUUCCACGUGUAGCGGUGAAAUGCGUAGAUAUCAGGAGGAACACCGGUGGUGUAAACGGCUUUCUGGACCAUAGCUGACGCUGAGGCACGAAAGCGUGGGUAGCAAACAGGAUUAGAUACCCUGGUAGUCCACGCCCUAAACGAUGCAUAUUUGGUGUGGGCCAUUCAUUUGGUCCGUGCCGGAGCUAACGCGUUAAAUAUGCCGCCUGGGGAGUACAGUCGCAAGGCUGAAACUCAAAGGAAUUGACGGGGGCCCGCACAAGCGGUGGAGCAUGUGGUUUAAUUCGACGCAACGCGAAGAACCUUACCUGGGCUCGAAAUGCUUACGACCAUCUUUGGAAACAGAGACUUCCCGCAAGGGACGUGAGUAUAGGUGCUGCAUGGCUGUCGUCAGCUCGUGUCGUGAGAUGUUGGGUUAAGUCCCGCAACGAGCGCAACCCUUGUCCUGUGUUGCCAUCAUUAAGUUGGGAACUCGCAGGAGACCGCCAGGGAUAACCUGGAGGAAGGUGGGGAUGACGUCAAGUCCUCAUGGCCUUUAUGUCCAGGGCUACACACGUGCUACAAUGGACGGUACAAAGCGCUGCCAACCCGCGAGGGGGAGCCAAUCGCAAAAAACCGUUCUCAGUUCGGAUUGCAGGCUGCAACUCGCCUGCAUGAAGCUGGAAUCGCUAGUAAU